rnacentral:lncRNA from 1 species
UCCGACUUCCGCAUUUUCAGUUAUAAGAAGAGUUGAAUAAACAUAAGCUGAAGCUGUUUGACAUAAAUACAUGGCGUUAACCUAAAUAUAGAUUUAAAUAUGGAAAUAAUAAUAAAUAUAUAAAAUAACUAAAAAAAUCUAUUUUUUUAUUUUUUUUGAGAAAUUAAAACUUUCAUUACUGAAAAGAGGUUGAGUAUGGCCCAAGAUUACAGAAUAAUAUAGGGCAAUGCAAGUACAGUAAAUGUAAAAAUAUUGUCCAUCUCUUAUGCAGCUAUGAUCCUGACUAACUGGCCAAGGAUUGAAGCUUCAAGAGGUUGGACUCCCAUGAGCGUAUAGCUUGUAUUUCAAUCUGUGAAAGAUUGUGCUUUUUAUAAGAUGUAGAAUCAUAUGUAAUGCUCGCAUCCUUUAUAAUUUCUCUGCUGACAAUUUCUGGAGGCCUUAGGGUGUGUUGUUUUAAUCUUCUAUUCCUUUCACACCAUAUGUGCCAGGAAAGAGAUGCUAGCAUAGUCCAGUGUACCCCCAAACAACUGGACUUGUGGGUGAAUUUUUGUAUUGUUUUCAUAAUAUCCCAUAUCCUAAUAUCUAUUGUGGGAGGUGGGGAAUUUUACCCAUUAAGUGUCCAAACAACAUUGUUAAACCAGCUAGUGGUCUCUAGUGUAAUGACAGUUAAAGUAUAGGUGUUGUAAUGUUUCUUCCUCAUUUCCACAUAGUGGGCAGGACGUAUUUAUGUUGAGUCCCCAGCUUUGCAGUCUAGUUAAAGUGUUCAAACUCUUGACCUUAAUUCUCCACAAGAGCAUAAAAAAUUUUGGAGGCUUUUUGGCCCAGAUCCCUAGAUUUAUCUCUUGUAAGAUGCCUUUGGGCCUUAAUGUUUCUGAGUGCAUGGAGGAGGCAAUUUGUGUGACCCUAUAGUUACUCAAGCAGUUUAUACAUUUCCUUAUUGUUUCCUUAUUAGCUAGUAUAGUUUUCCACAUGUGUGAGUCCAGAGUAGGCCUACACUCUAUCUCCCCAAUGCUUCUUCCUUUGAUGUACCUAAUUUUUACCCAAUCUGCUAGUAUGGAGUUAUUAGGACUCCACAUCCUCUCUGUUUUUUUAACCAAAGCUGCAGCAUUAGUUGCAAAGAAAUCCCUGGCCCCUAUUCCGCCUUCGCUCUUUGGGAGUGCCAUUUUUGCCCAACUACUCCCUCUUCUCCCGUCCCAAAUGAAAUUGUAAGCUAGGCUCUGGAUCUUUUUAAUGACUGUGCAUGGCAAUGUGGUUCGGUUUACCCAGUAUUGAAACUUACCUUGUAGGACCCAAUUUACUAAUUGGGUUCUGCCUACGUAAGACAGACAUCUCCCUUUCCAUCUGGCUAACAUUUUUUCUAUUGGAUUUAUUAACUUCCAACAUGUCGCGUGAGAUUUCUUUCUUCCUGUUAUUGGGAGACCAAGAUAGUUGAUAGGGAAGGGUUUAGUUGGAAAGUUGAGAAUGUUAUGCAGAUAAUGAUCAUUCAUGCAUACUUUUGAGUAGGUUGCCGAGCUCUUCUCCUGAUUAAUCUCGAGGCCUGAGAAUUUGGAAAAAGUCUCUAGGAUUUUCUUGAUUGUUUCUAAAGACUUGGGAUUUGCUUUUGAGAAGAUCAACACAUUAUCCGCGUACAUGAGAUGCGAGAUGGAAACCACUCCAUUCACGAUAUAAGUAUCCAUCCUUUUAUCUUUGAUCUCUCUCUAUUAGUCUACUAAGAUUAUCCAUUAUCAGGUCGAAUAAGAUAAGAGACAAUGGAUCCCCCUGCCUGAUUCCUCUAAAGUUAGUGAAGGAGGGAGUGGGAGAUCCCUCCACCAGUACCGAAAAGGAGGCUGUGGAUAUACAGUUAUGUACCAAUUUGCACAACAGAGGGUUGAAUCCCAUUGUGUCAAGGGUGUGUGUGAUUGCUUGCCAUUUCACUGUAGAGGGUUGAAUCCCAUUGUGUCAAGGGUGUGUGUGAUUGCUUGCCAUUUCACUGUAUCGAAUGCACCAUCUCGUCUGCCAAGAUAAUGUUAUCUGAGAUGCUUCUUCCUGCUAUGAAAGUUGUUUGGUGAUGAGAUAUUAACUCGGAAGAGACCUUGGAGAUCCUAUCAGCCAAGAUUUUGGUGAGAAGUUUAUAAAUUAAGUUGACACAGGAGAUUGGCCUAAAAUCCGAUAAUUCGGUAGUUGUGGGUUUUUUUGGGAUAAGAGUGAUAAAUGUGUGAUUAAUUGACUUCAAUAUGGGUUUGCCGCUGAAGAACUCUCUGACACAAGCUAGGAUUGUUUGUUUUAGUUCCGGCCAGAGAGCUUUGAAGAAACCCACUGUGAAACCAUCAGGUCCUGGGGAUUUCCCCAUUUGAAAUGCGAACAAGGUGGAUUUGACUUCCUCUUCUGUGGGUUGUUGAGUCAACCAUAUGUUCAUAUCUUGAGAUACAAUCCUAGGGAAAAUAACGGGAGAUGGUAUAUCUGGGAAGGGAGAAGUCUUGUAGAUAUCCUUAAAGUAAUCCACACUCCUUUUUUCUAAUUGGGCUCUUGAGAUGACUACCCUACCCUUUCCAUUUAUUAAUUUUAGAGUUGAGUUCUUUGCCUUAUCUUUGUAGUAAGACUAAAGAACUUAGUGUUUGAGUCUCCUAAUCUAAGCCAGCUGACCUUGCUCCUUUGUUUUUGGUUAGCCUCCUUUAUUUUGAGUUUAUUGACUAACUCCUCCUGCUUCUUUUUGACCUCUUCUUGGAUAGAAGGGACUAUUGGGCUAGUGUUUAGUUGCUUCACCAAGGAAUCAAGUUCCUCCUUAGUGGUUGUGAUCUGUUUUGCAUCACUACCUUUGGUCGCCGUCCAUUCCUUUGCGAGUAUUUUGACCUCCUUUAAUUUCUGUUGUAGGCAAUAUAGCCCAUUGCCGCAAAUUGGUUUAGCUAGUCCUCUCCUGGCUAGAUCGAGAAACUCUUGCUCCUUCAACCACGAAUCGAACAAUCUGAAAGGCUUUGGUUUCUGUGCUAUUUGCGCAAUUGAGAUAAGCAUUGCAGCAUGGUCGUUAUGCGAGCCAUUCCAAAACUCUACCCUUAUCUCUGGAAAGAGUGAAAUCUAAUCUUGAUUCGAGAAUGCUCUAUCCAGUCUAGAUUGUACAAACCUAUCCCCUGCCUAUCCCCUGCCUGCUUAUUAUUCCAUGUAAAUUCCCCCUAUUGAGGGGACCUCGAUUAACUCUGCUAGGUCGGUAGCUUCAAUGAAUUCAGAAGGCUCUCCAUGAACAUAAACCCCAGCCCCUGGUCCUCUCCUUUCCUCUGGGUUCUUAUUUCAUUGAAAUCACCCAGCACUAACCUCUGGAGUUCUCCUUUCCUCUGGAGAUGAUAUUAGGUUGGAUGUUCUUAACUGUGUUCCACAACGGUCUCCUAGCUUCCCUUGUGUUGUUUGCAUAUACUACGUAGAUAAAGAACACCAAUCCACCCUCGUUGUAUACCUUAGCAUGAAGUAUUUGCCUAUCCAACAAGAUUGGAACCACCUUCCAAUGGUCUUUUUUCCAUAAAAUCCAGAUUGAGUCUGAACAUUCUUGGUCAUGUGGGAUGUUGUUUGAAAUUACCUCUCACUCCUCCGAAAAAUUGUCUCUUACUGUUUGGAAUUGUUUGGUUUAAACUCUAGUCUCUAAUAGCGCUACUAUGUCUAAGUUCUUUUUAAGCAUCACAUUUUUUACUUCAUUCUGGAUUAGAGGGGAGUUAAGCCCUCUAACAUUCCAGGUCAUUAGCGCCAUUGUUUGGGACUAAUGACCUAGCGGUGAUGGGAUGGCUUAGUCUAGUUAAUUGCCCGGGUGGCCUUUGCCACCUCUGCAAUUGGGGAAGAUUUUUUGCUCGAUGAAGCAUUCGAAGAGUUGGCUUAGACACUAAGACAUUACAUUACAACACCUAAGGCAUUACAAUCAUGUUUAUAUUUCUUUGAUGGACAAGAUCCUAUCAAAGAAACCCCCGUUUGUUGAUAUCAAACGUCUACCAAAGUAUCCCAUCAAGAGGAAGCCUUCUUUGAGCAAUGUUGGUUCGUCAUCUUCUAGAACCAAAAAAAUCAUAUCGUACGGGAAAAUUAAAGUUGAGUCUUUUAGGUUUUGAAGAGGGUCAAACAUUUGAAGAUAGAGUGAGGUCAAGAAAGACCGAGGAAAAUCGAUAAAGGAUCGUUGCUGAACAUUAUAAAGUUCAAGAUAAAACAAAAUUGUCGUUGAUUGCGGUGCGAAGUUUUUCAUCACUAGUGGUGUUGCGUUCAAUUUAACCAGAAACAUGGAAUUGCAGGAAAUUUAUCAAUCUUUUAGACAAUCUGAAUUUUGACUACAUUAAAUGACAUUAAGGUUUUAGCAAAAGUUAUUAGACGUUACGGUCUGAGCUACAUUAUACCCUCGCCUUAUUUUCGGAUCUCUUUUGGAGAAAAAAGUUCAGAAUAUUUACAUGAGAUUAUCUAUAAUCGGACAUUUCUGUCGUGUAGUGUGACUGCCCAGAAUUCUUCUUCUUAUUGCACUAUUCUAUUUUUUCUAUUUAUCUGAAUAUAAUUCAUUAAUCAAACAAAUAAGUAUGACUAUUUACUAGUCACUAUUAAUAAAAAUAAUGAUAUUUAACGGAUUUCUUGCUCUACAUUCGAAGAUUAACUACCACACACAUCCGGUUAGACUUCCCUUGUUGGAAUCCACUAAAACCGAGCUGGGGUUAGCAUCUGCAAUUGAGGAGACACAAUUGCAGAGAGAUAUGGCACUGCUAACAACUCAAGUAGUAGUGAAUUGAGUGGAUUGGUUUUUCCGACAAAAAGAUACGAUGUUAAAUAGCCUCACCUGGGUUUUUUUCACCUUCCCACUAUUAAAGAUCAUCACAAUAGAUGAUUAUCAACAUAUAUUGGACAAACAUGAAAUAUCUCUUCCCUAUCAACAGAUGAUCGUAGAUAGAGAUAAACAACUUCAUAGUUAAGGAAUGUAACAUAAUAUAACAAGAUGGAAGGAACCAAAGGUCUUCGACAGAAUGUAACUAUCUAUAAACAUAAGGGAAUGAGAAAAAAAAAAAUAGUAAUCAGUUUUACCACCAUAUAUCAUCACUAUCAUUCAUAUCUUGGUGCGGACUUAGGUACGAGGACAUAUCCUUGAAGAUAAUGGGAAUGAGAAACUCGAACGACAAUUAGAUUAACAAAAAAGAAGACAUUUUUUUCACUAUUUUAGAGAAUAUCUAUGAAAAUGUCCAUUAAAAUUUCAAAAUAAAUGUGGAAAAAUGAAAUGACAAUAAAUAAAUAAAUAAAUAAAAGUUACCUUUUUAAUUUUAAUGUUUCCGUAAAAUAUCAACAAAUGAUGGUUGAACAAAAUUUGAUCUGUACAUGACAGAAGGAAGUUUAUCAAGAAAAAAUUAAAAAAGAAACACUGAAACACCAAAUCCUAAAUGAAUAAAAUAGGAAAAUCUCCAUCAAAUCUCUUUCUUUAAGUAAAUAUAUAUCUAUUUCUUGAAUAUAUAAAUUGAUAUUAUUAUAACUAUUUAGAUCUCUUCUCUCCUGAAAAUCCAGAGGUAAUUCCAGAUCUACGUCUAACCCCAACUCCCAAACUCUAACAUUUGAAAAAGGCAUCGAUUAGAAAAAUAAUUAAAAGAGGGGAAGAUCAGUGUCGGUGGAAAAUGCAGCAGCAGUAAUAAAAUUAAAUACAGAGACACGAUAUGGGAAAGAUGAAUAUCGGUAAUAAAAUUAAGAACAGAUCUGAUUUGACCUUUGAAUUUAUGGCAUCGGUGGUGUAUCGACGGAUUUGAGAUCUACAAAACCCUCCUCCUCUGCUUGAGUUGUGCAUUUUCCUAGUCUAGAUGGAGAAGUUGUGAAGAGUGAAAAGUGGGUUUUAUCAUAUAUUAGGGUUUUGAGACGUACAGGUUGGAUGAUAAUAAUAAACUUUUGGUGUUGGGACGGACGGGUUUUAUUAUAAGAUAAAUCCACUGGGCUUGGGCAUUCGUG